rnacentral:lncRNA from 10 species
CCUGCACUGAAUAAAAGCAAGCAGCUCCAGCUUCUCGGGGCUGCACUUUGGCCACUUGAGCCAGGCAGUCUCCUAGCUGCUCUUACACACUGCAUAGCUGUGUGUGAGUACUCUUUUCAUCCAUCAGUCAGCCAGGGUCUGCAGGACAGAUCCGGCAAGUGGUGCCCUGUAUGAGGAAUGCUGCAACGGAUCUGGACUGAACCCUCAAAAAUAAAGUGACUGCUCAGUCCUCUUUGGAUUUCUGCGCGACAUAUGAAACCAUACCAUGGCAUGGCUGGAACCCAACCCGGUACCAAAAAUAAAGGAAAUGACCCUGCAGGACCUGCAGCCCCAAAACGAUGCGGCUUCCUCGGACGACACAGGCCCCGGACAUUAUGCUGAAGAAGACAACUCAGGAAGCUGAGCAAAUCCUGCUCCAGACACAAACACCAUUCACUCCAGAUAAUCUGUUCCUUGCUAUGCCCUCCGUUGUACAUUGCAACACUCGCAGGGUAUUGGUUUUUCUUAUUCUCUCACUCUGCCUGCAACUCGUACCUGCUACACUCUAUUAGGCCCAUCUUCUAGAUCCACCUUUCUUCCGCCCUGUUACUUGGGCAGACACCCCCUUCCCAGCUUCUACCAAUGUGACUGCUUGGGUAGGAGGGAUAAACAUACCCCUGGUGGGGUUCCUCAGUAACAGCCCUAUAGAACAAUGUGCAAAAUCACCUCUCCUGGAUAGACCCCCACUCCUGUGGGUCACUCUUUGAUUGGAAAUGAAUAUUACUGAUUAUACUCACGCUUGUCUUAUGUUACCUACUGCUUCUGGGAUGCAAAGCUGGAACACAAGCUGUAACCGCUGCACCUGUCAAGCUUGUCACUGCACACAUCUGUAUUCUUCAAUCAACAAAACCUGAUGCAAAAACAGAAAAGGGGGAGAUGUAGGAGAUCAGUCAGAGUGGUGAGAGAAACUGUAAGGAAAGGAGCAGGCCUUCUGAAGGGUCAGAAGGCUCUGCAUAGCUUCGGGGAAGAAUAGCUAAAGGCAGCUGUUCUCUAACCCUGAAGCAGAGGGUGAGGAGUAUGUGCAAGGGGGUGAAGGUGAAAUUAUCUUGAUCAGGUUUGUUCGUUUGAAGUUGUCCAGGAAUUGAACUUUGAACAUCCGUGUGACUGACGUCCCCUGAAAGGGGAACAAUAUGUUAAUUACCCACAGAUUGUGUUUGCUCCAGGCUUUCGGCAUUCUGCCUGCACUGAAUAAAAGCAAGCAGCUCCAGCUUCUGGGGGCUGCACUUUGGCCACUUGAUCCAGGCAGUCCCCUAGCUGCUACACUGCAUACCUGUGUGUGAGUACUCCUUUCAUCCAUCAGUCAGCCAGUGUCUGUGGGGCAGACCCCGCAAAGCAGGACAACAAAGGGGAGGUUAAAC